AUUGAACGCUGGCGGCAUGCCUUACACAUGCAAGUCGAACGGUAGAGGGGCAACCCUCGAGAGUGGCGAACGGGUGAGUAAUGCAUCGGGACGUGCCCAGUCGUGGGGGAUAACACUUCGAAAGAAGUGCUAAUACCGCAUACGACCUGAGGGUGAAAGCGGGGGAUCGCAAGACCUCGCGCGAUUGGAGCGGCCGAUGUCAGAUUAGGUAGUUGGUGGGGUAAAGGCCUACCAAGCCGACGAUCUGUAGCUGGUCUGAGAGGACGACCAGCCACACUGGGACUGAGACACGGCCCAGACUCCUACGGGAGGCAGCAGUGGGGAAUUUUGGACAAUGGGCGAAAGCCUGAUCCAGCCAUGCCGCGUGCGGGAAGAAGGCCUCGGUUGUAACG
rnacentral:rRNA from 1 species